CAAUGUCCUUCCGUGGUUCCUGUGUCUGAUCCUGUCUGGGUUCCUGCCCUGACUUUCCUAACAGAUGAGCUGUGAUCAUGACUUGGCUUUAAAACUUCUGCAGCUAUUUGUUCCAGAUGUGGAAUCUUGCCCCAGCAUCUGACCAUCCAUCAUCCAGCUAUUUCACACAGAUAAGAUUCUCCUCUUUUACACUGAAUAGCCACAGAGUGUCUGGAGCCAAGCAGGAACAGUCCACGAGCAUGGCUCUCCUCAAACACACACAUUUAAACACAUUCAGUCUGAAUGGGGAUAAAGUUGGCCUGUGGUCGUUUACUUUGCUGGAGAUCUAAGUUGCACUAUGGUGAAUGCAGUGAACAGACUUCCGGUUGACCUGGCGCUGAGCCGCAGGCUGUCAGGAGAGGUGACUCUUCUGGCUUGUCAGGUGGUUCAACCCAAAGAGACGCAGCUCUCCAGACUGCUGAACCUGUGCCACAGUGCUCCAUACCCAAAUACCAGCGGAGAGAGCUGGUGUCCCAGGAGUGUUGACACACCUGUGAACACAGAUAAGACCACCACUUCUGCUCAAAUUCCUGGCCCAAGAGGGACCUUCCCAGAGCCAUCAGGACUCAGGAACCCAGGAAAAGCCGGGGACAGGAUCCUUCAGGUUUCCGUCUGCACCCCGGAGCUGACCCUGUGCCACAGCUCCCCAUACCCAAAUAACUCCUGGAGAAAACUGGUCUCCCAGGAGUGCUGACACACAGGCUUUCAGGAGGGACAAGGCACAGCCACAGCCAGAGACAGCAAGACCAGCUAAUACUAGAGGUAACUGGAUGGAGAGAGGCAAGGGGAAGAACGUAAGCAAAGAUUUGAAGACAGGCUCUAUAUUAGAUUAUAAUGUUAAUGUGAGUUUCUUGGCUGCAAUAAUUUCUUUAUGGGGCUGCAAAGGAGAGAACAUUGUUCUUCGGAUGUAUGUGCCAAAUGCUGUGGGGUGGCAUGUCACUGUGUGCAUUGGUGAGGACAUGGAGUGAGAGAGAGAGAAAAGAAGGGACAGACUGACAUUAAGUGGAGUGUGGAUAAUCUAGGCAAGGUUCUUGCAUUGUUCCUUCACCUUUGAACACUUUAGAGUUUGAGGAGGGAAAAAAUCCCAGCACUGCGGAUCAUUGCAGCCCAACUAAAUGACAAGUGGCUGUAUCCAUGAGUAAUGCUAAGCAAGGUGAAAGCUCUCCCUUCACCUCCAUGCAGACGUGUUUACUGUCGUUUCCACAAUCUCGGGUCUUUGCAGGCGCUGACAAACAGAGUUUAGCUAAUGUCUCUGAAUUCUGGCUUCUGAGAAAGUAAAUCUAGUCGCUCUAACUCUGAUUCAAGUUCAAGCUGACUCUUGGGUUAGUCACCAGUAACCAAGGGGCUAAGAAUGUUUUAGCCACACGACACACUGUGGACCCAGGUUCUAGAAAGGCAAGGGUUGGCCGUCUGCUGUCUGGGUCCCUUCAAAGGGUCUACUGCAGAGGGUGACUUUUGACAUACGUUGACAAGAGUUAGUAGGAAAAGCCCGUGCGGCUGCCACUCAUCCAGGGACAGCCUCCACUGAGACUUUGUUCUCCAAAGCGGAGCUCCCCACCCAGGUAUAUACACACCUAUCAGUAAAUGCACCAUCUAUUUACUAUUUUAUAUUUUAAAACAUGCAUCCUGGUAUGACUUAAUAUGUAUGAAAUAACACUAAGUCAGGGUUCAGAGUCCCUUGUCUGACUCUAAUGUUUUUAUGAACCUUAUCUUGCAAUGCUUCAGAAAUUUCUAUUUAUUUCAGGAACUUGUUUGUGCCCAUUUACACAUUUAUUGACACCCACGGGAGCUUUUAAUUUGGUUUCAUGAAGCAAAAUGAAA
ensembl:lincRNA D030018L15Rik RIKEN cDNA D030018L15 gene